AGAGUUUGAUCCUGGCUCAGGAUGAACGCUGGCGGCGUGCAUAACACAUUCAAGUCGAACGGACGACCCGGAGCUUGCUCCGGGAAGUUAGUGGCGGACGGGUGAGUAACGCGUGAGCAACCUGCCUGUGUGAGCGGAAUAACGUCCGGAAACAGACGCUAAUACCGCAUGACUCACGGACUUCGCAUGGAGACCGUGGCAAAGAUUUAUCGCACACAGAUGGGCUCGCGUCCGAUUAGGCAGUUGGUGAGGUAACGGCUCACCAAACCGACGAUCGGUAGCCGGACUGAGAGGUUGAACGGCCACAUUGGAACUGAGAAACGGUCCAGACUCCUACGGGAGGCAGCAGUGGGGAAUAUUGGGCAAUGGGGGAAACCCUGACCCAGCGACGCCGCGUGAGGGAAGACGGUCUUCGGAUUGUAAACCUCUUUCAGCAGGGAAGAAGAAGUGACGGUACCUGCAGAAGAAGCCACGGCUAACUACGUGCCAGCAGCCGCGGUAAUACGUAGGUGGCAAGCGUUAUCCGGAUUUAUUGGGUGUAAAGGGUGUGUAGGCGGGACUGCAAGUCAGACGUGAAAAUCAUGGGCUCAACCCAUGACUUGCGUUUGAAACUGCGGUUCUUGAGAGUGGGAGAGGUAAACGGAAUUCCUGGUGUAGCGGUGAAAUGCGUAGAUAUCAGGAGGAACACCGGUGGCGAAGGCGGUUUACUGGACCACAACUGACGCUGAGACACGAAAGCGUGGGGAGCAAACAGGAUUAGAUACCCUGGUAGUCCACGCC
rnacentral:rRNA from 1 species